AUGGAGCUUUAGACACACAGGUGGCCCAUGUCAAAUAACCCCCGCUAAGGGCCUGAACUAAGUGGAACCUGCCUUGAUGUCUUCGGUUGGGGCGACCAUGGGGAAUACAAAACCCCCACGUGGAAGGGGAGCACACCCCUAAGUUACUUCUUCUCCCGCAAGCCAGAGCAACGGCUCUAACCAGCAGAAAUUCUGACCAAACUGAUCCGGUAAUACCGAUCAACGGACCA
rnacentral:rRNA from 1 species